UACGUAGGGGGCAAGCGUUGUCCGGAUUUAUUGGGCGUAAAGGAGCGUGUAGGCGGCCAGACAAGUCUGCUGUGAAAACUCGAGGCUCAACCUCGAGCUGUCGGUGGAAACUGUCUGGCUAGAGUCCGGAAGAGGAGAGUGGAAUUCCUGGUGUAGCGGUGAAAUGCGCAGAUAGUCAGGAAGAACACCUAUGGCGAAGGCAGCAUCCUGGCUCGGAUCUGACGCUCAAUGUGGCGAAAGCUAGGGGGAGCGAACGGG
rnacentral:rRNA from 1 species